UCCCAAAUAUUAGUUGUUUUGACAAAGUAAAUUUGCUCCAAGAAAAUAAGAAGUCAUUUACUUUCGAUUAUCUUCCAAGUUUAUGAUCAACAUUUCAAUUUAAUUAUUGGAGUAUUAAUCAAGUGAGACGUUUAAGAGAGAUAAAGGUUAGUCUAACAACUAGUUUUAUGAGUAAGGUUAUUAUAGUAUUUAUUUUUAAAGAGACUGCCAAAAUUGUCAAAGGCAGAUAAUAUAAAUCAAAUAUAAAUGAAGAGCAUGGCCUGUUGUAAGAUAAGAUUCUUUUUAUGUGAUUUGACAUAUUCUCUUCCAAAAGAUCCAAAGUAUUUAAUUUUUAAAGAGCCUGCCAAAAUUGUCAAAGGCAGAUAAUAUGAAUCAAAUAUAAAUGAAGAG
rnacentral:lncRNA from 1 species